UACGGGGGGAGCAAGCGUUGUUCGGAUUUACUGGGCGUAAAGGGCGCGUAGGCGGCGCGACAAGUCACUUGUGAAAUCUCCGGGCUUAACUCGGAGCGGCCAAGUGAUACUGUCGUGCUAGAGUGCGGAAGGGGCAACUGGAAUUCUCGGUGUAGCGGUGAAAUGCGUAGAUAUCAGGAGGAACACCGGUGGCGAAGGCGGGAUCCUGGGCCAGUACUGACGCUGAGGAGCGAAAGCGUGGGGAGCAAACAGG
rnacentral:rRNA from 1 species